rnacentral:lncRNA from 1 species
UUUCUGUUUCCUGUAUUAUAUCCUCUUUUUCCCUCCUCCAGAAUUAGUUCUAUUUGUGCAUCUUCCUCACUUUCCUUAAAUAUCUGGAAAACGUUUGUCCAUUCAUGAUUGGAAUCAAGGACUGGGUUAGCCUCGGUGAUGAGCCUAAUGCACAGUUGUGAGUCUGGAUGACCAGUAGGAUUCUCCCAUGAACAGGAGGGUGGAGGGUGUCAAUUAGGGAGUGCUCAUCUCCUUUGGAGAUAAAGGUAUAGAGCUCCCAGGCAGAGUAGGAACUAUUCUAAAUGCCCAAAGCAUGGCAUUUCUCUGGCACUGGAAAACUUUAGUGGAUCUGUCUUCUAGGUAGAUGUCAACUUCCCUUUAAAUGCUCACCCAUGUCUGCUGCACCCUGAAGCUUAAUUCUGUCUGCAGGAGGGAUGACUCCACAUGAUAGGGAAUGUGAUUUCAGAUAUGUUUUCAGGAUCAAAGCUUAAACACCAGAGUAAAGACUCCUUUUUUAAAAUUUACUUCGAAAAGUCCUGUAUGUUCACAGUUUUAGGUACUCAAUAACUAAUCCCCGUGUCUUCCCUGCUGAAUUUGAAACCAAUUAGUAGACACAAGACUCAGCUCACUGAAGAACAAACUUAGGUCUGUAGCAAAAUGAACUUGAUAGUACUUUUCAAAUCUUCCAAUUAGAGAAACUCGCUGUGGCAGAAUAACU